rnacentral:rRNA from 1 species
GACGAACGCUGGCGGCGUGCUUAACACAUGCAAGUCGAACGGAAAGGCCCUGCUUUCGUGGGGUUCUCGAGUGGGGAAGGGGUGAGUAACACGUGAGUAACCUGCCCUUGGCUUUGGGAUGACUUCAGGAAACUGGGGCUAAUACCGGAUAGGAGCUCCUGCAGCAGGGGGGGGGUUGGAACUUUUCGGCGGUUGGGGAUGGACGCGCGGCUUAUCAGCUUGUUGGUGGGGUAGUGGCUUACGCAGGCAUUGGCGGAUAGCCGGCCUGGGAGCGUGACCACCCUCAAUGGGCCUACGGGAGGGACCAGUGUGGUAUGGGGGGCAACGGUCGGAAGCAUGAUCCAGUGAUCGCGCGUGUGUGACGAAGGCCUCGCGUUCGUGAAGACGGUCUUCUGGUUGUGAACCGCUGUAGGUUAAGACGACGCUUGAGUGACGGUACUGAGUGAAUAAGCACCGGCUAACUACGUG